rnacentral:rRNA from 1 species
UACAGAGGGUGCGAGCGUUAAUCGGAAUUACUGGGCGUAAAGCGUGCGUAGACGGUUAUUUAAGUCAGGUGUGAAAGCCCCGGGCUCAACCUGGGAAUUGCAUUCGAGACUGAGUAGCUAGGGUACGGUAGAGGGAAGUGGAAUUUCCGGUGUAGCGGUGAAAUGCGUAGAUAUCGGAAGGAACAUCAGUGGCGAAAGCGACUUCCUGGACCAGUACCGACGUUCAGGCACGAAAGCGUGGGGAGCAAACAGG